rnacentral:rRNA from 1 species
UACGUAAGGGGCAAGCGUUGUCCGGAAUCACUGGGCGUAAAGGGCGCGUAGGCGGGCGAUCAAGUCAGGGGUGAAAGCCCCCAGCUCAACUGGGGAAGUGCCUCUGAUACUGGUCAUCUCGAGGGAGGUAGGGGCGUGCGGAACUUCCGGUGGAGCGGUGAAAUGCGUAGAUAUCGGAAGGAACAUCGGUGGCGAAAGCGGCGCGCUGGACCUCUUCUGACGCUGAGGCGCGAAAGCGUGGGGAGCAAACAGG